rnacentral:rRNA from 1 species
UACGGAGGGUGCAAGCGUUAUCCGGAUUCACUGGGUUUAAAGGGAGCGCAGGCGGAUUGGUAAGUCAGUGGUGAAAGGCUUAAGCUUAACUUGGGAACUGCCAUUGAUACUAUCAGUCUUGAAUGUUGUUGAGGUUUGCGGAAUGGGCCAUGUAGCGGUGAAAUGCAUAGAUAUGACCCGGAACACCUAUUGCGAAGGCAGCAGGCUAAACAAAUAUUGACGCUGAGGCUCGAAAGCGUGGGGAUCAAACAGG